GAAUAUCGACAGAGUUGUAUUUGUUGGGAACUUUCUCAGAAUCAAUAUGGUCUCGAUGAAGUUGCUGGCAUACGCCAUGGACUUUUGGUCUAAAGGACAGCUGAAAGCACUGUUUUUGGAACAUGAGGGUUACUUCGGAGCUGUUGGGGCCCUUUUGGAACUGUUCAAAAUGACUGACACGCAGUAGAGAAACAGCCCCUUGUGAAGACCGAGGACUGAUGGCCAAUGCCAGAGAAGGUGACGUCUCUGUGGGGCAGAAACCAAGCCACUAUGGUGGAUGAACCUGCUGUAUUUGUAAAUAACCUAAAAUCCUAGACCUUUUGCUCUUCGUUUCAAGCUUAUGAUACAAAAUGGGGAAUCUAAGAAUUUUUUUCUGUAUACUGUAUUUUUUAAAAAAGAAAAAAGAAAUUGUGCAGCGUGGCCAAACCUACCAAUUUCAUGCAUUAACUUUGAAAAGUUGUAUGAUGUUCAAGAGGGGCCUGAAAUGAGAGCGCUGUCCAUUUUUCUUCUGGGGUUUACUGAUCAGUGUGGUAAUUUAAACUUCAUUUAGUAAUUACUCUAGGAGAUUUUUGCCUUUACUUAAUAUUUUUUCAUGACGUUUCAUGAUUUGCUGUUGGUUUCAAAUGAAACUACGAAUCUGGCAUGUUGCACUGUGAACACUUUUUGUUUGUUCUCUCUCUCUUUAAUCCUUUCUGUUUCGAUGUCUUAGGACAGAAAAGGAAAAGAAGUUUCCCCUCCCCCACCCCUGUUUUUUUUGUUCCUCGUGAUUUCUCUCCUCUCUGUCCAUAUGCUUUCCUUGUUGUAACCGCUCAAUCAAGGUGCUGACCAAUUCAACACAAAGUUAAACACGUAAUUUACGGCUCUGAAAGUGUGGCCAUGUGAGAAGACUUUAAAGGAAGGGGUUGAUGAGAGUGGCAUACAUUGGACGUUAUAUGCAGUGCAAUUUUAUCUUUGCCUUCUUACCCCUCAUCACUAGAGUGUCCCACUGGCUUUACUUCACACUACACUGAAAUAGUCUGUGACGGCAUGUCCUCAUUUGUGUACGCCACGGGGAGGGCAGCAAACCCCUGUGUAAAUUUGGAGGGGCUCCCAAAGCUGAUCCGAUCACACCGGGCCUAGGGCAAAAGUCCUGGGUUGAGAUGUUAGAAAUCAUGGUCUGUCUUAUAUAUGUUCGUACCUAGGAAGGGUGUAACGAGACAUCCCAAGUAAUAACGUUAAAGCCUGUUUUUUUUUUUUUUAUUUCUAUUUUAGUAUUUAAACUGAGAUUGGUACUUUAUUCCAUUUCUAAAACGUAGAUAUAAUUUAUGAUACACUCACAUCUAUGGACAUUCUGGGAUGUUUUCGUUAAGAUAGACGCGUCACUUUCAAAUGAGGGUGUUGUACACAAACUGUAACAGGAGAGCUAAUGGUCUUUUGGAUUGAGGGUACCCUUCCAAGGGCUUUUUGAAAGGCAAUAGAGUUACUCCUUGGUCAGUCUUCGCCUCUCUACCUUGUGGAGCACCGCCCUUCUUUUCCAUACCCUUGAGCCUUGAAGAAGCUGAUGCUAAUGGAAGAACUCACUUGUCUGGUUGAAAUAAAGCCCGUUUGUGUUGGGA
rnacentral:lncRNA from 1 species